GUGCCAGCAGCCGCGGUAAUACGUAGGUGGCAAGCGUUGUCCGGAAUUAUUGGGCGUAAAGCGCGCGCAGGSRRUCUCUUAAGUCUGAUGUGAAAGCCCCCRGCUCAACCGGGGAGGGUCAUUGGAAACUGGGAGACUUGAGUGCAGGAGAGGGAAGCGGAAUUCCAUGUGUAGCGGUGAAAUGCGUAGAGAUAUGGAGGAACACCAGURGCGAAGGCGGCUUCCUGGCCUGUAACUGACGCUGAGGCGCGAAAGCGUGGGGAGCAAACAGGAUUAGAUACCCUGGUAGUCCACGCCGUAAACGAUGAGUGCYAGSUGUUAGGGGGUUUCCGCCCCUUASUGCUGCAGCUAACGCAUUAAGCACUCCGCCUGGGGAGUACGGUCGCAAGCUGAAACUCAAAGGAAUUGACGG
rnacentral:rRNA from 1 species